rnacentral:rRNA from 1 species
GCCAGACUCCUACGGGAGGCAGCAGUGGGGCCUCUUGCACAAUGGGGGCACCCCUGAUGCAGCGCCGCCGCGUGCGUGCAGAAGUGUUUCGGCACGUAAAGCUCUGUCAGCAGGGCCGCCCAUGACGGUCCCUGCCCAAGAAGCCCCGGCUAACUACGUGCCCGCAGCCGCGGUCCUACGUAGGGGGCCCGCGUUAUCCGGCUUUCCUGGGUGUAACGGGAGCGCAGCCGGCCGCGCAAGUCCGGGGUGAAAGCCCGCGGCCCAACCGCGGGACUGCCCUGGAAACUGUGCGGCUGGAGUGCCGGAGAGGGAAGCGGAAUUCCUAGUGUAGCGGUGAAAUGCGUAGAGAUUAGGAGGAACACCAGUGGCGAAGGCGGCUUACUGGACGGUAACUGACGUUGAGGCUCGAAAGCGUGGGGAGCAAACAGGAUUAGAUACCCGCGUACG